rnacentral:misc_RNA from 1 species
AUGAUUGCGAAUGGGUUGCCUUCAGUGCUGGCUCAUUAAAAAGCAAGUGCACGUUGGUGGCUUUCAUCCAAUAACCCUUGUGAACCUUUGGCCUCUUGCUAGCUUCGGCUGGCAAAGGAUUUUUAUACACACACUCGAAUGUAAUGAAAACUAUUGUCGUGCGCAUGCACUAAUGUA